GCUCAUGCAUAAAUACAUACAGAACACGUGCGCGCGUCCAUGCAGCGACCACCUUUAGCAUAUUCUUUAGCUUUUUUACUAUGUCUUUUCAUUUUGUCAAAGACAAUCGAUUUCUUUUAUUUGAUUACGCCAUCUUGUGCUGGUUUUCUGAAUGUGAUGGUCACUCAAAUGAUACACUAGAGCAGCAAAGCUGAAAUAUAAAAUGCAAGAAAAAAAAUUGUGAUGCUUAAAAAGAUGCCAAUGAUAAUUAUUGUGGUUUUGAAUCUUGUCCAUGAAGACAGACUAGCCAAAAAAAAGGUCAAAAAAGAAGGUUGCAGGAAUGAACAGGGAACGCCUAGUGGCCUACAAGUGGGCCUUCUAUCUGAACGGAAGUGAUUAAAACACCAUAAAUGCGUUCAAGUACUAUGUUGAGACUGUGAUCCUAUUUGAUGAAAGAUAAUUUUUUGGUUUAUCCCUUGCUGCCAAUACAAGUUGGAGUGAGUAGGAUUGGUGUGUUACUGUCGUACAGGCUUAUUAUCAUUGGCUUCCUAUUUCUUAUUUUAUUAGUUCAUAUGUUUUGCUAAUCUGUUGAUGCUGAUUUAUUUAUUCUGGUAUUGAGAUGCAUAUCUAAAAUUUAAACUUGUGUCAUGUGCAGUUGCAU
rnacentral:misc_RNA from 1 species